GAUGAACGCUGGCGGCGUGCCUAAUACAUGCAAGUCGAGCGAACGGACGAGAAGCUUGCUUCUCUGAUGUUAGCGGCGGACGGGUGAGUAACACGUGGAUAACCUACCUAUAAGACUGGGAUAACUUCGGGAAACCGGAGCUAAUACCGGAUAAUAUUUUGAACCGCAUGGUUCAAAAGUGAAAGACGGUCUUGCUGUCACUUAUAGCUGGAUCCGCGCUGCAUUAGCUAGUUGGUAAGGUAACGGCUUACCAAGGCAACGAUGCAUAGCAGACCUGAGAGGGUGAUCGGCCACACUGGGACUGAGACACGGUCCAGACUCCUACGGGAGGCAGCAGUAGGGAAUCUUCCGCAAUGGGCGAAAGCCUGACGGAGCAACGCCGCGUGAGUGAUGAAGGUCUUCGGAUCGUAAAACUCUGUUAUGAGGGAAGAACAUAUGUGUAAGUAACUGUGCACAUCUUGACGGUACCUAAUCAGAAAGCCACGGCUAACUACGUG
rnacentral:rRNA from 1 species